UGGUUCUGCAUGGAGACAAUAUGUAUGUCAAUGAGAAGGAGGCCACAAGGUCCAUGUAGAGUCCACAGCAAUGUCCUCAGAAAGGUUCCACUACAAUCUCUUUCUCACUAUUUAGCAAGUUUUCCUUGGAGCUGCCCCAGUGGAACUGUGCUACCUGGCCUGCUUGGAGCCAAGAAGGACUGAAUCCUCAAUAGCAUCUGAUCCUCCUAAAGGAAUUGGAAUCAGAGUGGAAACUUGAGAAAGUGACAAGAGAUUUUUGGGUCUGUUAGUGGGAAUCAACUGAUCUGCGGGGCUGCAACCCCAGACUGAAGAUUGCCCUUGUUUGUAAGUGUUCACAAUGAUGCUUAAACUAUUACCAACAAUCAAUCUGGAGAUGCUUGACCUCUUCAUUUGGCAUAAAAAAACCAAUCCAUGAUUAUGGGGUGCUACAGGGUUCCCCAGCAAAAGGAAUUCCAGACCUUACAAUUGGAGACAAAGUCACAGGUAAUACUAAUACUACUGUGGGUUGUUGUGGCUUAUACAAAGAAAUGACAAACUUCAGUUAGAGGUUAAUAAAAAUAAAGAUAUAAUUUUUCCUCUUUCAAGUUCAGAGGUCCAUUGAAAUCAAUCCUUGGGGACAAGGGACCCAAGAUUAAGAUCCUUGGUUUAAAGGAAGGGAAAAAAGUAAAGAUAUACCAAAACAAGGUUUUCCUGUCAGGAAGGUUUGAAUUGCAGUUCUGCCUCGGACACAAGUUGUGGGACCCUGGGCAAGUUCCUUAGAAUCUCUGUGAUUCAGUUUCCACAGCUGUAAAAUGGGGUUAAUAAUAGCACCUACCUCAAAGGGUGUUGUGAGGACCGAAUAACUUAACAUACAUAUAUGUAUAUAAAAAAGGGCUUUCCGAGUCUUGAAGUACUAUAUGAAGUAGUUAUUAUUAUUUCAGCUUAACUGUCCUAUUUCUGAGACCAUCUAGGGACUGUUACAUGCACCACCUUCAGGAGGUCUGAACACAGCAGUCUGAAUCAUGCUUUCUCAUUUAUCUUUCCUACACUGCUUCUCUCUUCAAAAGUCCCCAUUAGAUAUAGCUUAAAUGGGAUACUGAUUUCAAGCUCUCAUUUACAGAGCAUAGGAAAUAGCUAACAAUGCAAUCUGUCUGAAUUACUCACCCCCCCCAAUUCCUGCUUAUUCUCUAUCAAUUACCCAAUGCACCUACCAGUAAGAGGAGUCAUUUUUAAUGAGGUUUUAUUCACUAUUCCCCUGAAUUUAUAUCAACUUACAACUGGGUUUGGAAUCUAGCAGAGGAAAAGAACAUUAGUUUAGCUGAUAUUUUUAAAAUAACAAUAAAGAGAUACUUUGACUGUUGUUUGGUCG